rnacentral:rRNA from 1 species
AUAUUGGUCAAUGGACGCAAGUCUGAACCAGCCAUGCCGCGUGGAGGAUGAAGGUCCUCUGGAUUGUAAACUUCUUUUAUUUGGGAAGAAAUCCAUAUUUUCUAAUGUGGUUGACGGUACCAGAUGAAUAAGCACCGGCUAACUCCGUUCCAGCAGCCGCGGUAAUACGGAGGGUGCAAGCGUUAUCCGGAUUCACUGGGUUUAAAGGGUGCGUAGGCGGGUUGGUAAGUCCGUGGUGAAAUCCCCAAGCUUAACUUGGGAACUGCCGUGGAUACUAUCAAUCUUGAAUAUCGUGGAGGUAAGCGGAAUAUGUCAUGUAGCGGUGAAAUGCUUAGAUAUGACAUAGAACACCAAUUGCGUAGGCAGCUUACUACACGAUCAUUGACGCUGAGGCACGAAAGCGUGGGGAGCAAACAGG